GUAACGCGGAGCUCAGGAGGAGGAGGGUUAUGGCUGCGAUCAGACAGCGGUUCAGCGUCACUCCUUCCCACGGCGUCUCGAGCUGCGUCAGACUCUGGACGGAGAGCGCGUGGCGUAACGACGUCGCUGGACAGGUGAUAAAACACAGGCUCGUACUGGUGCUGGAGACCCGGUGUUCCCGUGCGAUCAUCUUUGGGACCUGCUGGACGAUUGGAGCUUCCUGCCGGACAGAAGACUCCAUUCAGACAGCAGUGAGGAUCACAGACGUCACCUUUGACCCCUGUAACAGCGCGGCUUACCUGCACUGAGGUGAGCGGGAGUCCUGAGACGGAGAGGACGGCGGUGUGAGAGCGCUGGAGCAUGUGGUUUUGGAAGAAACACAGCAGCUCAAACAUCAUCUCAUUUACAGCAACUGUAAGAGAAGCAGAUUCAGCAGUUACUGAAAUAUAACAAAGCAUGAGCUGAAUGUGUUGUGUAUAUUAACAGACUGAAAUGUCUGCUAUUCCUCGGAUAUCAAGAGUUGCAUCAUCACGGCGUGAAGUCUUCAAGAACAACGAAUGUUCAGUAGUUACUCAACAUUUCACAGAUACUUCUCAUCUGCUCCUCUCCAUGCUCCUGAUACUCUAACACACGUCCCGCUUUAUUCACUAUUCCUACGAGACCGAGCCGCUCCGGACACUUUCUGGACACACAAAGCAAACGUGACAUUUGAGUGAUAUAAUAACCUUUCUCAUCAUUCAACACUUCAGCUGGACUCAGAAAUGCAUGGCUUUGCUUUGCUUUUUUUUUUUCUACUCCGCUUUUUAGCAGAUUGUUAGAACCACAAUACUAUCAGUCUUCAUUUUUAACACUAGAUCUAUUGUUUUAUCAUCUACGACCAAACCACCGUCUUGUUUUUGAAUCAUUUUGCUGUGCAUUAAAUCACAAUUGCUUUGAUA